GCAUGCUGGGAACACUGAGCUUUGAUAUCUAAUUGUUGUAGUGCUAUUGCUGCUUAGUGUUUAGUGUAAAUGGGGAAACAAUAUUCUGAUAUUCACGCUAUCAUUUUCUUACAUGUGCUUUUUCUUACAUGCAUUCAUUUUUGUUGUCAAGUGGAUCCUGUACUCAUGUAAUCUGUACCAUGCCAGGCUGUGUAGCAGUUAAUCAGACCAGAAUGUUUCCAGCAAAGGCAUUCUUGAGUAACACUGAGGAGCUGGCUGCCUUUCAGAUGGCUGACGUUCACACACUGCACAACCAACCAGGAGUUCAGCAGUUCCCCACACUGUAAAGAGUCCUCUUUGAGCACUGUAUUUGCAUUGGGUUUGGUUUGGCUUGUUUCCCAACCUGAAGUCUAAAUGAAUGGUUCUUGAGCAUUUCAGGAUUAUAGAAUAUAGAUAUGAAGAGAUAAUAAAAUCUUCAAAGCCAUGUGCUAUUUCCCAUUGCUCACGUAUUUCCUGGAGUUGAAUGCCUGGUCACAGAAACCAAUAAAAUCUGCUGAGAAAUCUG
rnacentral:lncRNA from 1 species